CCUACGGGAGGCAGCAGUGGGGGAUAUUGCACAAUGGGGGAAACCCUGAUGCAGCGACGCCGCGUGGGUGAAGAAGUAUUUCGGGAUGUAAAGCCCUAUCAGCAGGGAAGAAAGAAGACGGUACCUGACUAAGAAGCCCCGGCUAACUACGUGCCAGCAGCCGCGGUAAUACGUAGGGGGCGAGCGUUAUCCGGAUUCACUGGGUGGAAAGGGCGCGUAGACGGCCGUGCAAGCCAGGAGUGAAAGCCCGGGGCCCAACCCCGGGACUGCUCUUGGAACUGUGCGGCUGGAGUGCGGGAGGGGCAGGCAGAAUGCCUGGUGUAGCGGUGAAAUGCGUAGAUAUCAGGAGGAACACCGGCGGCGAAGGCGGCCUGCUGGACCGCGACUGACGUUGAGGCUCGAAAGCGUGGGGAGCGAACAGGAUUAGAUACCCGUGUAGUC
rnacentral:rRNA from 1 species